AAGACCUCGCGCCUGAAGAGAAGCCUGCGGCAGAUUAGCUAGUUGGUAAGGUAAUGGCUUACCAAGGCAACGAUCUGUAUCCGGUCUAAGAGGACGGUCGGACACACUGACACUGAAUAACGGGUCAGACUCCUACGGGAGGCAGCAGUCGGGAAUUUUGGGCAAUGGGCGAAAGCCUGACCCAGCAACGCCGCGUGAAGGAUGAAGUUUUUCGGAAUAUAAACUUCGUAAGAAUAGGAAGAAUAAAUGACGGUACUAUUUGUAAGGUCCGGCUAACUACGUGCCAGCAGCCGCGGUAAUACGUAGGGACCAAGCGUUGUUCGGAUUUACUGGGCGUAAAGGGCGCGUAGGCGGCAAUUCAAGUCAGCUGUGAAAUCUCCGGGCUUAACUCGGAACGGUCAGCUGAUACUGCUUUGCUAGAGUGCAGAAGGGGCAAUCGGAAUUCUUGGUGUAGCGGUGAAAUGCGUAGAUAUCAAGAGGAACACCUGAGGUGAAGACGGGUUGCUGGGCUGACACUGACGCUGAGGCGCGAAAGCUAGGGUAGCAAACGGGAUUAGAUACCCGGUAGUCCUAGCCCUAAACGAUGAAUACUUGGUGUCUGGAGUUUUA
rnacentral:rRNA from 1 species